rnacentral:misc_RNA from 1 species
GGAAAAGUAGACGCAGUUCGGGCUCUGCUUGAUAAGGGCCUAGACAUUGAUGCCAAAGAUGAAGAUGGCUACACUGCAUUGCAUUGUGCAGUGGAGUCAGGUCACGCAGAUGUGAUUGAAUUGUUAUUGAAGAAAGGUACAGACGCCGAAGCCAGGGAGGAUAAGGGUGUCACUGCUUUACAAAUCGACGAGUCCUUGCACUAUGGGGAGAUCACUAGAGUGAUGCAAUUAGCAGCUGCGGCGCCGGUGCACCUUCCGUUUGGGAAAGGCAUGGCAGGAAAGGAGGUGGAGAAGCCAAUCAAGAAAAGGCCACCUAGAGCAAGAGCUUUGCGGGGUAUAUGGAAAUGGGACAAGCAUGCAGUCCUUCCCUCUGAUAUGGAAUAUGAGUUCUAUUAGACGGCAUCCAUGGCCAUGCAUAUACAUAAUUAAUUGUAAGAAAACAUGCAUGCGUUUGUCCCAUCUAAUAAUAUUUUGAAAAUGAAAUAAUUAAGCAAUGAAAAGUUCAG